GUUUCUGUUGUGCCUGUAUUUCAAAGGUCCAGGCUUGUCAAACACUAUGUCACUUUGAGUCUCCCCUAGCACUGCAUUAAGGGUACACGUGUUUGAGGAGUGCUCAGCCACUUGCAUAUGAUCACGGUUUCGAUUCCCAGACCGAGCGUUG